rnacentral:rRNA from 1 species
UACGUAGGGGCUAGCGUUGUCCGGAAUCAUUGGGCGUAAAGCGCGUGUAGGCGGCCCGGUAAGUCCGCUGUGAAAGUCCAGGGCUCAACCCUGGGAUGCCGGUGGAUACUGUCGGGCUCGAGUCCGGAAGAGGCGAGUGGAAUUCCUGGUGUAGCGGUGAAAUGCGCAGAUAUCAAGGAGGAACACCAAUGGCGAAGGCAGCUCGCUGGGACGUGACUGACGCUGAGACGCGAAGCGUGGGGAGCAAACAGG